rnacentral:rRNA from 1 species
GGGUUCUCAAGCUAACGCAUUAAGUAGACCGCCUGGGGAGUACGGCCGCAAGGUUAAAACUCAAAUGAAUUGACGGGGGCCCGCACAAGCGGUGGAGCAUGUGGUUUAAUUCGAUGCAACGCGAAGAACCUUACCUACUCUUGACAUCCAGAGAAUUCGCUAGAGAUAGCUUAGUGCCUUCGGGAACUCUGAGACAGGUGCUGCAUGGCUGUCGUCAGCUCGUGUUGUGAAAUGUUGGGUUAAGUCCCGCAACGAGCGCAACCCUUAUCCUUAUUUGCCAGCACGUAAUGGUGGGAACUUUAGGGAGACUGCCGGUGAUAAACCGGAGGAAGGUGGGGACGACGUCAAGUCAUCAUGGCCCUUACGAGUAGGGCUACACACGUGCUACAAUGGCAAGUACAGAGGGUUGCGAAGCCGCGAGGUGGAGCUAAUCUCACAAAGCUUGUCGUAGUCCGGAUUGGAGUCUGCAACUCGACUCCAUGAAGUCGGAAUCGCUAGUAAUCG